rnacentral:rRNA from 1 species
AUUGAACGCUGGCGGCAGGCCUAACACAUGCAAGUCGAACGAGUGGCAGACGGGUGAGUAAUGUCUGGGCAACUGCCUGAUGGAGGGGAAUAACUACUGGAAACGGUAGAUGAUACCGCAUACCAUCAUAUGUUCCCAGAUGGGAUUAGCUUGUUGGUGGGGUAACGGCUCAACAGGACGACGAUCCCUAGCUGGUCUGACAGGAUGACCAGCCACACUGGAACUGAGACACGGUCCAGACUCCUACGGGAGGAAGCAGUGGGGAAUAUUGCACAAUGGGCGCAAGCCGGAUGCAGCCAUGCCGGGUGUAUGAAGAAGGCCUUCGGGGUGUAAAGUACUUUCAGCGGGGAGGCGUUACCCGCAGAAGAAGCACCGGCUAACUCCGUGCCAGCAGCCGCGGUAAUUC